AACGAACGCUGGCGGCAUGCCUAACACAUGCAAGUCGAACGAGGCCUUCGGGUCUAGUGGCGCACGGGUGCGUAACGCGUGGGAACCUGCCCUUAGGUUCGGAAUAACUCCCCGAAAGGGGUGCUAAUACCGGAUAAUGUCUUCGGACCAAAGAUUCAUCGCCUUUGGAUGGGCCCGCGUUGGAUUAGCUAGUUGGUAGGGUAAAAGCCUACCAAGGCGACGAUCCAUAGCUGGUCUGAGAGGAUGAUCAGCCACACUGGGACUGAGACACGGCCCAGACUCCUACGGGAGGCAGCAGUGGGGAAUAUUGGACAAUGGGCGAAAGCCUGAUCCAGCAAUGCCGCGUGAGUGAUGAAGGCCUUAGGGUUGUAAAGCUCUUUUACCCGGGAUGAUAAUGACAGUACCGGGAGAAUAAGCUCCGGCUAACUCCGUG
rnacentral:rRNA from 1 species